AUGGGAUGGGCCGCGCGGUUCCUGACUGCGGUCUCAUUCCUCGCCUUGGGCGUCCUCUUCGCGCCGGACGCGCUCUUCGGCGGCGCCCCCGGCCGCCCAGCCGCCGGCGUCGCGGCGGCGAGGCUGGCCCAUGUACUCUGCUUCGCCACCGCAUGGGGGGCCGCGCUCUGGGUCACCUUCAUCGGCGGCAUCGUCAUGUUCAAGCAUUUGCCAAGGCACCAGUUCGGGAGUCUGCAGGGGAAGAUGUUCCCAGCAUACUUCAUGUUGAUAUCGGUGUGUUCAGCUAUAUCGGUUGCAGCAUUUGCAUACCUCAACCCAUGGAAGACAGCAUCAACUGUUGAGCGUUACCAGCUUGGUUUCCUUCUUGCUGCCCUCGGUUUUGACCUGUCCAACCUUCUGGUCUUCACCCCCAUGACUAUCGAGAUGAUGAUGAAGAGGCACAAGAUCGAGAAGGAUCUUGGCAUCGGUGGUGAGGUGGGACGGUCAAGGAAUGCCGAGUUGGCAAAGACAAACCCUGCACUCGCAGCGAUGAACAAGAAGUUCGGGAUGAUCCACGGGCUGUCGUCCCUGGCAAACAUCAUGGCAUUCGGCAGCCUGGCCAUGCACUCGUGGUACCUAGCGAGCAAGCUUGAGUUGUGA
rnacentral:rRNA from 1 species